UACGUAGGGUGCGAGCGUUAAUCGGAAUUACUGGGCGUAAAGCGUGCGCAGGCGGUUCGUUAUGUCCGAUGUGAAAGCCCCGAGCUCAACUUGGGAAUGGCAUUGGAAACUGGCGGGCUGGAGUGUGGCAGAGGGGGGUGGAAUGCCGCGUGUAGCAGUGAAAUGCGUAGAGAUGUGGAGGAACACCGAUGGCGAAGGCAGCCCCCUGGGUCAAGAUUGACGCUCAUGCACGAAAGCGUGGGGAGCAAACAGG
rnacentral:rRNA from 1 species